rnacentral:rRNA from 1 species
UACGUAGGCAGCGAGCGUUGUUCGGAAUUACUGGGCGUAAAGAGUGUGUAGGCGGUGCUCUAAGUUCGGUGUGAAAUCUCCUGGCUUAACUGGGAGGGUGCGCCGGAGACUGGGGUGCUCGAGCGUGGGAGAGGAAAGCGGAAUUCCUGGUGUAGCGGUGAAAUGCGUAGAUAUCAGGAGGAACACCUGUGGUGUAGACAGCUUUCUGGACCAUUGCUGACGCUGAGACACGAAAGCGUGGGUAGCAAACAGG